rnacentral:rRNA from 1 species
UGGGGAAUAUUGCACAAUGGGGGAAACCCUGAUGCAGCGACGCCGCGUGGAGGAAGAAGGUCUUCGGAUUGUAAACUCCUGUUGUUGAGGAAGAUAAUGACGGUACUCAACAAGGAAGUGACGGCUAACUACGUGCCAGCAGCCGCGGUAAAACGUAGGGUGCAAGCGUUGUCCGGAAUUACUGGGUGUAAAGGGAGCGCAGGCGGGAAGACAAGUUGGAAGUGAAAACCAUGGGCUCAACCCAUGAAUUGCUUUCAAAACUGUUUUUCUUGAGUAGUGCAGAGGUAGAUGGAAUUCCCGGUGUAGCGGUGGAAUGCGUAGAUAUCGGGAGGAACACCAGUGGCGAAGGCGGUCUACUGGGCACCAACUGACGCUGAGGCUCGAAAGCAUGGGUAGCAAACAGGAUUAGAUACCCUGGUAGUCCAUGCCGUAAACGAUGAUUACUAGGUGUUGGGGGAUUGACCCCCUCAGUGCCGCAGUUAACACAAUAAGUAAUCCACCUGGGGAGUACGACCGCAAGGUUGAAACUCAAAGGAAUUGACGGGGGCCCGCACAAGCAGUGGAGUAUGUGGUUUAAUUCGAAGCAACGCGAAGAACCUUACCAGGUCUUGACAUCCGAUGCAUAACACAGAGAUGUGUGAAAUCCUUCGGGACAUCGAGACAGGUGGUGCAUGGUUGUCGUCAGCUCGUGUCGUGAGAUGUUGGGUUAAGUCCCGCAACGAGCGCAACCCUUAUUGCCAGUUACUACGUUAAGAGGACUCUGGCGAGACUGCCGUUGACAAAACGGAGGAAGGUGGGGAUGACGUCAAAUCAUCAUGCCCUUUAUGACCUGGGCUACACACGUACUACAAUGGCGUUAAACAAAGAGAAGCAAGACCGCGAGGUGGAGCAAAACUCAAAAACAACGUCUCAGUUCAGAUUGCAGGCUGCAACUCGCCUGCAUGAAGUCGGAAUUGCUAGUAAUCGCGGAUCAGCAUGCCGCGGUGAAUACGUUCCC